GGAUAGAAGACUCUGAAACUGGUUUGGGCCGGAAAGCCAUGCUUCAUUUAGUCACAAAGGACUUUCCCUUAACUUUUGAACCCCUGGUCUGAUUUGUGCCAUUUUUUAAUAUGUUGUUCCCCUGAAUGGAUUGAUUAUGAAAAUGUAUGUUUUAUGUUUGUGACAUGUAUAUUUUAGAAGUUAUAAAUAUUGUGUAAAAACUGUAUUCCUCUGCCGGUGAUAAUGAGAUUACCCAUUGUGUUCAGUAAUCAUAUCACAGGCAGAGG
rnacentral:lncRNA from 1 species